GGCCUAUUAGCUCAGCUGGUUAGAGCGUCGUGCUAGUAAUGCGAAGGUUGUAGGUUUGAGACCUGCAUGAGCCA